GUGCCUGGCAGUGGCUGAUGUGGUCCAGACCGGAUGUCCUGAUACAGCGGAAGAGGCUGAUGUUGGUAGCUCUGGAGCCCUGGGAGGAUCUUGGUUGCUGCCUCAGGAAUGGGAAUUUUCAAAGGUUUUCUGUCAUGAUGAUAAGAAAAAUACAAAGAGGAGCCAUGGCACAGCACUGACAAGGCCUGUACAGGGAGGCUGUGGAGCAUAAAACUGAGAAGCCGCUGAUCUGUGGCUCAUUUUUAUUGUUGUUUAUUUUUCCAUCACUGCGAAGAGACACCAUGACCAAGACAAUAUAUAGAAGAAAGCAUUUAAUUAGAGGGCUCACAGUUCCAUUAUGAUCACUGUGGCAGGGAGCACGGCCAUAGGUAGGCAGGCAUGGUGCUGGAGCAGCAGUGCCUGAGAACUUACAUUUGAUCCACAGGCAGGAGGCAGGGAGGUAACUGGGAACAGCGUUGGCUUUUGAAACCUCAAAGUCCACUCCCAGUGACACGCUUCAUCCAAUGAGGCCACACCUCCUAAUCCUUCCCAAACAGUUCCAUCCACUGGGAACCAAGCAUUCAAAUAGAUGAGCCUAUGGGGUCCAUAGUCAUUUAAACUGCCAUAUUUGUUUAAUGUGGUAGGAUGUGCCCCAGGAGUUAUUUUAUUUCAAAAUAAAAUAGAAAG